rnacentral:lncRNA from 1 species
AAUAUCUGCACAGAAAAAGUUGAGAGAAGUAGAUACUUUUGGAAGACUGUAUCAUUACUUUCCUUUACUGCUUCAUUCACAACAGUUGGGUAAUAGCUCAGAAAUACUUUAGCAAACUCAUAUUUGAAUUGAGGUUCACCCAACAUUUUCAAGAGCAAUUCAUGGAGCUUCCUGACAAUAUAACCACUGACCAAGAACCUCUCUGCCCUCACCAGAACAUCUAAUAAACCUUCUGAAGAGAAUACCCUCCUAGAUAUAAAGCUAAGCAAACUUUCANCUAGAUUUUACAGAAGGUAUUAUGCAUUUAUUUCCAUCCAAUAACUACAACCUGCGUUGCUAAGACUUGGGUGUGGGUAUUCGAGACGGGUGUAGAUCUGAGAGUCGGAACAGCAAAAUCUAAAUUAGAUUUGGGGUAUGAUUUACGAAUCCAAGUAUGGAUACAGGUGCAGGGGAUUCGGCUUAAAAAUUCAACAUUGUAAAAAUAGAGUUAUAAAGACAUCCUAAAUUUGAGAGAUAUUUUGUUAUAAACUUACAUGUAUAUUGUAGAAUUCAGUCUUUCAUUCUAAAUUUGUUUGUUUUAAUUUUAAGAAAUCGAAUAAUGCCGUAAAUUUAUUUUAUUUUAAUUUUAAGAAAUCAAAUUCUCAAUUUUCCCCCCAAAUUUAUUCUUGACUCUGGUCAAAUUAUCUGGAUGAUUGACCUAAUCUGACACGCACCCAGCACGCCACAUCGGUGCCGGCGCCAACACCAGUGUCGCAUUGAGACAGGUUCGGCAGCAAAAACAAAGAGUCCAUGCAACAUAGACUACAAGCAAAUCAUUAAAGAAAUCUUCUACAUGAGAGGCUUUGAGGGACAAGCUACAAAACAUCACCAAUAUACUGAUGUCAUAAUCUAACUUAGAAAAAAUAGUAUAAUUAUCCAAACUCCUUACACAGGGCUGAAAUCAAAUUAACAUAGCAAUACCUUCAAUCUACCAUUUUCUCCUGCACAAGAUAUAAGUAUGUCCCCAAAACAGUCCAGCAACAUGUCUAAAAGAUUCAUCUCCUUCACAAGACGUGGGGCCAAAGUAAGCACCGGAAAUAUCUGCACAGAAAAAGUUGAGAGAAGUAGAUACUUUUGGAAGACUGUAUCAUUACUUUCCUUUACUGCUUCAUUCACAACAGUUGGGUAAUAGCUCAGAAAUACUUUAGCAAACUCAUAUUUGAAUUGAGGUUCACCCAACAUUUUCAAGAGCAAUUCAUGGAGCUUCCUGACAAUAUAACCACUGACCAAGAACCUCUCUGCCCUCACCAGAACAUCUAAUAAACCUUCUGAAGAGAAUACC